rnacentral:rRNA from 1 species
UACGGAGGGAGCUAGCGUUGUUCGGAAUUACUGGGCGUAAAGCGCACGUAGGCGGCUUUUCAAGUCAGGGGUGAAAGCCCGGGGCUCAACCCCGGAAUUGCCCUUGAAACUGGAAGGCUAGAAUCACGGAGAGGUGGGUGGAAUUCCGAGUGUAGAGGUGAAAUUCGUAGAUAUUCGCAAGAACACCGGUGGCGAAGGCGGCCAACUGGACCAUUACUGACGCUGAGGCGCGAAAGCGUGGGGAGCAAACAGG